rnacentral:tRNA from 1 species
GGGUUGUGGCUCAGUGGUAGAGCGCUUGCCUAGCAUGUGUGAGGCACUGGGCUCAAUCUUCAGCACCACAUAUAAAUAAAUAAAUAAAGGUCCAUUGGCAAUUUAAAAAAUAUUUUUAAAAAAAGGCUGGGAAGGAAUAUGGCUCAGCAGUUAAGUGCCCCUGGGUUCAAUUCCCUGGGUUCAAUUCA